UGGGGAAUAUUGCACAAUGGGCGCAAGCCUGAUGCAGCCAUGCCGCGUGUAUGAAGAAGGCCUUGGGUUGUAAAGUACUUUCAGCGGGGAGGAAGGCGAUAAGGUUAAUAACCUUGUCGAUUGACGUUACCCGCAGAAGAAGCACCGGCUAACUCCGUGCCAG
rnacentral:rRNA from 1 species